rnacentral:misc_RNA from 1 species
UCCAUUCUCUCUGCUCUAGAG